AUUUGUUUUUUAAAAAAAGGGAGAGAGAACAGAUUGUGCCGCAGCCAAAAAAAAAAAAAAGGGUGUCAUCUUCUUCAAAAUGGCAAAAAAAAACUAAAACCCGAAGCUUCGUCCAAACGACCACCUCCCUUCGUCGUUGCCUAGUCCUCACGAGCCAGCUCCUGACGACAACCAAACGAACCGCAUCUGAUUCUGCUUCGACAGCCCAGCGAGCAUCAACCCGUCGUCCAGUGCACCAUCGCUGCUCCUGCUUCAUCUGUCCGUCGACCACCUAAUAUCCAUCACAACCAAUCGUAAAACCAGCUCUAGGUAUGCGAAAAACAGUAGCUCAAACCCCGUCGUGCUUCGUCUUCCUCACGUGAAUCAGUCCGGCAACCCUCCAUUAAAACCAGCGACCUUCACUUUGUCUCAAAACAACCCGUCCUUGUCCUUAUCAAAUCUGUUCGAGGUUCGUUGCAGUCGAAUCUGAGUUCGAUGCGUCGUUCGAGUAUUCUGUCCGCAUUUUCUUCUCGAAUUUCAUUGCUGUUCAUUUCGAUUUUUGUCAUCGAACUUCACUCAUAGUUUGUAUUCAGGCAAAGCUAAUACAGGUUCGUGCUAUUCAGGUUCAUCUUUCUAUAUUUUUUUUUACUCUUGUUUGGUGCUGGUUUUACAUUCUAUAUAUAUAUAUAUAUAUUGUGUGUUAGGAUGAGUGACUUUGUUGCUCACAGUUCAUGGGGCCAAAACCGAAGACUAUAGUUUUUGGUAAUAUUGUUUUUUUUUUUGUUUUUUUUAUAUUUGUAUUUACAUUUUGUUGGAAAAGUGUUCAAUUUUAUAUGAAGUUUAUGGGGUGGUUAAGUUGAUUUUUAAGGCUUAUGUUAAUUGCUAUUACGUGAAUGGAUUCUCUGUUGCGUAGUUGAAUUUGUGAAAAAAAUUUUGCUUGUUAAAAUUGUGUUAUUGAAUCUGAAAAUUUUCAAGUGUGUUGUGUAUGGUGUUAAGGAUCAUAUUAAAUCUCUUGGGACACUAUUUGUUCAGAGAUAACAAGUCAUGCAGUUGUCGUGAUUACGGAUACAGUUCCAUAUUGUAGUUAUGAUUUGUAAUUCUCAAAAUUCAGGGGUGCAUUUCAUGUAACCCGAUUAUAACGACUCCGGUUAAUUUCAGUGAAUAAAUUAGUGUUUUUUUUAGAGACAAGUAAAGUAGAGAAUCAUAGUUGCUUCUAGGUUUGCCCUAUCAAAAAACACAUGAGGUGAGCCUCGUCGAUUAACACACAAAUUACGGGGCCCUCGUUAAUUAUAUAUAUUAAAAAUACUUAGACUUCAGGACGGGCCGUUUAGCAAAUUACAUGGCCUUACCCAAAAUAAUUAUACGCUAGUCGUUGUAGGCGCGCAUUUAAUAAUUUUACAUCCCUAAACUCGGGUGUGCAUUUCUUGCAACCCAAAUCCAAAUUCCAAAACAUCGACUCAGGUAUGUUCAUGAUUGCGGGUUCAUUUCAUGCGGCACAAUCCAAAGACAUAGUUCAGACGAUAUUCAAUCUUCUUUAAUAAUUUGAAUAAAAGCGGUUAAAAGUUAAAAUUGGCACAUAAGUUACACAUGCAAUAAAAUCGGUUAAAUAAGCUAAAUACGACAGUUGGGCGACCGUGCUAGAACCACGGAACUCGAGAAUGCCUAACACCUUCUCCCGAGUUAACAGAAUUCCUUAUCCGGAUUUCUGGUGCGCAGAAUGUUAAAUAGAGCCAUUCUUUUCCUUGAUUCGGGAUUAAAAUAGGUAACUUGGGACACCAUAAAUCUCCCAAGUGGCGACUCUGAAUCUUUAACAAAUAAUCCCGUUUCGAUUGUCCUUUAAUUGGAAAAAUUCCCUUGCGCCCUCGCGGGACGGCAAAAAGGAGAUAUGACAACUGUCUACUCACUCUGUGCUAAUACUAUAUGCUAUUUCUUCGUGGCAUAGCUUGGCCUCACAUUACUUGUGCACUUCAUUUAUAUCUAGAGUCCCUUCUGUGAUUGGUUUUCAAACUCGUGAUUGAUUUUCAAAACUUUUCCUUCAUGAAUUCUGAUUUUACUCGCUUGUUAAGGGGUAAUUAAUUCUCUCUCUUUGUUUGGCCUUACCAUAUCCUUUCCAAAAAUAAGUACAUUCCUGUACUUGGACUUAAUCACUUACUAUAUGGUUUUACUGCUUCUUUACAAUCAUUCUGCUUACAAAUUAAUGUUCUUUCCUUAUAUUAAUCCUGUUAGUAUCCAUUUGAGCUGUAAUCCUUUAAGUAAAGGGAAAUACGUUUGUUAAUUGAUUUUGAUUGUGAUUAUUUUCAUGUUUCUAUUAAAACCUUACUUGUUACCCUAUUCUCUACUCAUUUUCUAAAUUAUAACAACAUGUACCUCUUCUCUUUCAAAAACAAGUUCUAAUAGAACAAGUCACUACUUCUUCUCUCAAAUACACUUAGAAUUUCUUAAGCAUUCGAGUUUUCUGAACUCACAAGUUUAAAGUUCUCUUCUCUGAUUGUGGUUUGGCUGAAAGAAAUCCUGCAUUUUCUUUUCUUACUUUUCCUGCAACUGGUAUGUCUCUCUUUGUUUAAUUUCUGCCUCUCCACUACAUGUUUAUUUUUCAGCCUUUCCUUUGCUUGUUUUAUUGUUUCGAUGUUGUAAUUGGUGCAAGUUUACUUACUUCUUUAUCUCUGUGCUAACAUGAAUCCCUACCCCCCCAAUUUCCUUUGUAUCUUGAGUUAUGGUUAUGAAAGCAUGAUAAUACUUGACAUUGUUGCUUAUAUGUAUGACUGGACUCCCUAAGUGCUAAACACUUUUCAAUUCUCAUUCCCCUUCCCAUUUACAUGUAUUCUGAGUUUAAGACUAUGGUCUAGCAGUGUCCUAAUCAUUAUCUAGACCAUAGCUUGACCUUCAACAGGUCUGUGCUCAUAUUUUUUGGCUAAACAGGCUUGGUCAGGGGUGUGCCAGCCUACCUUAUGCCUAGGCAUGACCAUCAUCCUGUCUUGGCACUCCUUAACCCCUCUUUAUUGCACUGGAACUCACUCUUAGAACAUAACUUCUGGGCCCCUCUUGUGAGCCUUGCUUUGGGAUCCAUGAGCUGCCUCUAAACUUGGAUACUUGAAGGAUGGCUCUUCCACAAUGCACUAUAACUCAUUAUAAUUAACAUCUUGGGUGUAAGCACUGCCUGGAGUUCCUGAAACUCUUUGGAUCUCUGAAACACCCUAGAUAAGAGAAGGCUUUGAAAAUAUUUAUCUCGGAAGUGGUUCAAUCUCAUAUUUUUAGACACUAAGUCUGAAUUGGGCUUCUCGUAUGUAGCUGAUGGCUUUCAGAUGUACUUUUAAUUUCAGUUUAUGUUACUGGUUUGUAAUAAUUUGUAUAAACUCAUGGAGAUUUAGUGAAAGAAGGGAGGGGGUUAAUUGUACGCAAAAAGGGUAGAGACCAUGCCUACAGGAUUUAGUUUAUGAUAUGUGCAACUUCACACAUAGAAAGCAUAUCUAUUGGGAUUAACUUCUAAAUUUUCUGCGAUUAUGCUUGUAGAUAUCAUGCUUAUAAGAGUUUACAUUUUUCACAUAAUGGUGCCAUUAGGAAAACUGUAGACGUAACAACAAAGUUGCAUAUAGUUACCAUGUUUGUAAGACUCCUGUUAAAAGUGUUAAAAUCAGUUAACGCAUAGAAAGCAUGACUAUAGUAACUUCGAAUCUAAUCCGUCUCAUUUAUUCAAAAU
rnacentral:lncRNA from 1 species